rnacentral:lncRNA from 1 species
CCCCCCCACCUGCUCCCUCUUCUCCAAGACUCACUCCAGCCGUGUCCACCAAGAGCUCAGCAGUAGGAUGAAGGUGGGUGGAAAGCAGGUGUGUGGGUGCUGGAAAGGAAACUUCGGCACAGGGACAUUGGAACAAAGCUCUCCUUCCCUGCACUGCCUGCCUUCGUUUACAACACGACUGGAAACCCUAAAUGUACUUGCUUACAGAUUCAAAAGGAAGACAAACUCUGGGAUUAGGUUACCUGGCCAGCUCUCCUUCCAGAGGAGGCUGACAAGCACAGGGGAUCUCCUGAAGUUGGAGACACAAGCUCUGGGAGCUGCUGUCCAGCAUGUGGAGUGUCCUGGAGAGAUGGGUCACAACCAGCUCCGGAGUCCUCUCCUCUCUCCUUGGUGA